rnacentral:rRNA from 1 species
GUCUACGCCCAUGUCACCCUGAACACUUACUUGUCUGAUCCUGAAGCUACAGGAGGGUCAGGCCUGGUUACUACUUGGUUGAGAGACAUUCUGGAAAUAUCUGAUGGUGCAGGCU